AUGGUCACAUACUUUCCUUCGUCAAGUAGUCCAGUACUGCACCAGAAGCGACGUCGGCCGAAACAGGAGAGGAAGAGGCCACAGAAGGAUUCUUGCGUCCCAAAUGUGAGUUUCAGGUUCACGGUCUGGAUGGUGGAUUCGUUCUUCAGCUCCGGCGAGGUCAUCAUGUGCCGGUACAUCUCACCUUCAAGCACAUGUUGCAGACUCCGACUGUUCUUUCUUUGCUGGAUGUUCGGCCCGCUGAUGCUGCAUGGAAGCAUUCGAAGUGAAAAAUAUCUUCACAUACUUUCCUGUCUGGGAGUAUUAUGCCGAGCCUCCCCAGCAAGGUUUUCAAUAUUAAGGGGGAAAUCUGAAGGUGUAUAA
rnacentral:rRNA from 1 species